rnacentral:sRNA from 1 species
GCCAGGUGUGGUGGCUCCCACCUGUGAUCCCAGGAACUCAGGAGGCUGAGGCAGGAGGAUGGCAACUCUGAGGCCAGUCUCAGCCAUUUACCAAGACCCUGUCUCCA